AAUAAAUGCAGUUUUGCACUAUUCACGUUUAACGUUUGACCAUUCGUCUUAUUUGAAAAUUUUUUAUGAUUAGUAUUUUUAUUGCUAUUAGAUGAUAAAACAUGAAUAGUACUUUAUAUGUGACUAAAUAUUUUCAAAUUUUUCACAAAUUUUUCAAAUAAGACGGACGGUCAAACGUUGGGCACGGAUAUCCACGGCUGCACUUAUU
rnacentral:pre_miRNA from 1 species